rnacentral:piRNA from 1 species
UGUUUCAAAUGUGAACGGUAGAUGACGC